UCUGGUCGUCAAGAUCUUGGUGUUAUCGAUGCCUUUGGUGAUUUUCUGGAGGAAGAGAAGAUCCAGCAAAGCUGAAGUUCCUGCUGUGGAGAUGGACUACGUCAACGUCACAGAGUCCAAUCGAGUCAUUGAGGUCAGAGAGGACAGACAGAACAGUUCUCCUCCUGUGGAAAUAUCUUCAGUUUACUGCAACGCCAAGAACAGCAAACCAAUCAGAGCUGAAGACAGCUCAGCUUAACCAGCUGUCAUCUGAACAAAACUGAAGACGACUCCAGUAAACUCGAUUACUCUGAGGUGGAUUUUUCCAACGUUGCUGCCUCCUCUCUGAACAGCGCCCCCUGUGGUGACGUAGAUAACGUCCUCUACUCCUCACUUCAGAUGGAUG